rnacentral:tRNA from 1 species
GUAUUGGUGGUUCAGUGGUAGAAUGCUCGCCUUCCAUGUGGGAUUACCCGGGUACCAUUUCUGGCCACUACA